UACGUAGGGGGCAAGCGUUGUCCGGAAUCAUUGGGCGUAAAGCGCGUGUAGGCGGCCAGAUAAGUCCGCUGUGAAAUCUCGAGGCUCAACUUCGAGCUGUCGGUGGAAACUGUCUGGCUAGAGUCCGGAAGAGGAGAUGGAAUUCCUGGUGUAGCGGUGAAAUGCGCAGAUAUCAGGAAGAACACCCGUGGCGAAGGCGGUUCUCUGGGACGGUACUGACGCUGAGACGCGAAAGCGUGGGGAGCGAACAGG
rnacentral:rRNA from 1 species